GUUUUCCACAAGAUCGUUCUCUUGUGAAGUGCCCUUGAACACUGUCCGGAUAUUCCACAAACCAUCUGAUUGGAGUUUAUUUCCAAUAGGUGUUCUCUGAAAUCUCCCAAGACAACUGAAUCCAGGAAGAAAACACCGUUGCCUCUAUUAAACUCUAGCGCAGCCAUCAUUGAAGAAGAAAAGCCACGCAUACAGCAUGGCAGAACUGAAUCACAGACACGGGGUCCUUUACAUUUUUCACCCCAAAAAUGUUAAAAUAAAGGAAAGAUAUUUUCUCUGAAAAGGUAAUUGGGUCAAAUAAAUAAAUACUAG
rnacentral:lncRNA from 1 species